AGCUGCAAAACUUGAGCUGGGCAUUUUCGCACCCAAAUUGAUGGUUUUAGGGCUCCAAAUUUUGUCCGAUUUGAUGAUCUGGAAUUGUCACAAACUUAAAGAAAGCUAUGAUGAUUGGUUGGGUGCCAGAAUUCGAAUUCCGAGGCUGAGCCUGAUUAUUGGGCAUACUUAACAGUCGAGCGGGCCAACGCGUCCAUUGGAUCUAUGCAUUUUCUCCACAAGGGAUCAUCCGAAGGCAAAAGUUCGCGAAACUCAUCCGAAGCAAGAACCACUCUGUUCACAGCUCUUACCAGCAGAAUAUGAAGAGAGAUUCUAAGCAAAUUCGUUGCUCCUACAAAGUCUUUUUGGCUCAACGCUUGAACCGCAGAUGUAACAGUCUCAGGUAGUAUUGCAAGAAUCAUCAAGAAAUGGAGGGUCAGGCAAUGGAUACCUCGUUUUCAAGUUUCUGCUGAUACAUCCUAGUCACCAACAAAGUGUUGGUGGCAAGAAGACCGAUGGUGAGAGCGCUGCCAGCUUCAAUCGGCCUCAGCUUUGCCUCCUUCAGCUCCUCAGCUACAGAUUCACCCAUAUGAAUAAAAGCAAACUCCACAAUUUUCAAGAAUCACUCGUUUACGCCUCAACUUCUCAACUAUCAACCAGUGGUCGUCAAUACAUACUUCUUCUUGUUCACCAGAAAGGCAACGUAACGAACCUUUUUGAAGCGAUAAUAGCUGGUUGAUC